CUGGAUGCGAGCUCUUUGUCAGAUGUAAGGAUUGUGAGUUACCUCCUCUAUUAGCAAAUUUAACUUGCUUAUUCAUCAACUCAUUCCAAGAGCACCAAUAAGGAAUGGGCCAGGCCCUGUGCUGGGUGCUGGGUUAUCAGAAUGAGUAUGAUGUGGCCCUCAUUCUUGAAGACAGCUCGACCGUGAUGGAGGAGACAGGCAUUUAGAAUAAGCAUGAAAUAAAGGUGGCUGUUAAGGGGUCAGCUCCCCUCACCAAAGUCACUUUUGAUUUACUUACAAAAGUUUUCUUAAGAUUUCUUCAGAACCCAGGUCAAAAGGCUGUGGCAGGAGGCCAGGCAGAUCACAGCGUCCAUGCCUAGAUGCUCCCUGACCCCCAGGAACCAGAAGUGCUGUCUCCUGAAGGCUCUGGAAACCCGGAAUCAGCCUACGAGGCACCAGGGCCACCUUGGAGGGUGGAAAUGAGGACCUCAGGCCCCAGAGGGCAUGCAGGCGAGGUGAAGUUCAGGAGAGGGGAAAGAACAUGGGCUGUGUGGCCUUGGACCAAUUGCUUGCCCUCUCUGGGCCUUCUUAUUGGUGACAGACAGACUGGUGACUUUCUGAGAGGAUCUAUGCAACCUCAGGCUCCUGCACCUGGGUUACAGGGUCUUCUGGAGGGGAAGAGAUGAGCAGCAAGGACAAUAGCAGUGCUCCCUUCCCGGGUCAGUUGCAAGGAUUAAGGAUGAUGUCUGCAAAGUGCUUAGUCAGAGCCGGCAUACGGUAAGUGCUCAAUAAAUGCUGGCUCCCAUUAUUAGUAUCCCUUCCCUCCACGCCCUCAACACAUCCCUUUAUCAUGAUGGAAUAACCAAUUGCCUGGUAACAACAUGUUCACACUUCCACGCUCCCCAUCAACCAUGCUCACCUAUAAGGCAGGCUGCGACCAGCUCCUCUUCAUCUAUUCAUUGCCUGGCCCAUGCUAGGGGCCCAAGAAAUGUCUGCUGCAUCAACGAGUGAUUUUGGGAAAGGUGCUGAGCCCUUCUGUCCCAUGAAGUUCUUGCGAGACAGUGUCUCACCAGCAACCUGGAUCGUGAGAACCACAGCGGGUGGGCCAGAUCUAGAUGGAGAGUGUCCAUUGGGCAGAGCUGCUUCUGUGAAAGGAAAGGAAGUUUUUCAAGAAACCAUGAGGGGGGCCCAAGAAUCCAAGUUUCUAACUCUGGGAUCGGUUUUCUGUCUUUUACCUCGGUUUGCCUCUCCCUAGCUGUGUGGUUUAUGGCAAGUCACUCUGUGCCUCUGUCUCCACGUGUUCAAGGAGGCAGCCGGUCCAAGGGGCCUUCAUAGAAGGGGCUGCCGAGAUGUGAGCCCUGCAUUGGGGGGAUGCCCCACAGAGGUGCUGUCCCCCAUCCCCUUUCCAGGGAACUCACAGCGAAAUCUACCAACCAAAGAGGAUGUCCAUACCUGUCUUUUUCUUUCUUCCUUCAUUUUUUGACUUAAUUUCCUCACUUGAAAAAAAAAAAUAAAACACCUUAUUCAGGGUAUACUUUAUGGGCAGUCUUAAUUUUUUUUAUUAGGAUGUGGGAUGUAAAUCCAUAAAAGAAGUAGAAGUGCUGAGCCUUCCUGUGGAGUGGGUGCUGGAGGGGAAAAGGUGGAGUUAGGGGAGGGAAGGGGAGGGCAGGAAGGUUGGUGAUGGGCAGAGAUUCACAGAGACUCCCAGGUCAGGGAGCAAUCCCCCAGUCAGGGCAGCAGGAAUGCCCAGAGGAAUUCUGAUCGGGACAGACGUCGGGCACUGAAUGAAGAGAGGUCCCUCAGGGGCCUGGUCUCAGGGGCCUUGAAUUCCACGCAAAGCGUGUCUUGAGCAUCAACUAUAUGCCAGGCACCUUUUACAUAUAUUAUUUCUUACUUCUAAAUUAUUCCAGAUUUUAAGCCGGGUGCAGUGGCUCACGCCUGUAAUCUCAGCAUUUUGGGAGGCCAAGGCAGAUGGAUAACCUGAGGUCAGGAGUUCGAGACCAGCCUGGCUAACACGGUGAAACCCCGUCUCUACUAAAAAUACAAAAAUUGCCUGGGUGUGGUGGUGCAUGCCUGUAAUCCUAGCUACAUGGAAGGCUGAGGCAGGAGGAUUGCUUGAACCUGAGUGGCAGAGGUUGCAAUGAGCUGAGAUUGUGCCACCGAGCUCCAGCCUGGACUACAAAGUGAGACUCCAUCUCAAAAUAAUAAAUAAAUAAAUAAAUAAAUCUAUCAAUCCAGAUUUUACCAAUUAGGAGACUGAGCCUCAGAGAAGUUAAAUCACUUGUCCAGAGCCCUGAAAUUGGAGAAGCAGCUGCGCUCAGACUGGAACCCUAGAUGGUAGGGCCCCUUAGUCCUCCUUUAUCUUGGGGGGAUCCAGGGAAGGCUUUUCAGCAGGGGAAUGAUGCAAUUGGAUACACAUGUCAGGGGGAACAUGACUGCUUGUGGCAAGGAACGCAGUAAGCCUGGG
rnacentral:lncRNA from 10 species